AUGUCUGAAGUGUAUAAUAGUUACAUACUUGAAGCUAGAGAGCUCUGUAUUGUGUCAAUAUUGGAGUGCAUCCUUGCAAAGAUAUCACUGAGGCAUGCAAGCAAACGGAGAGAAGCAGUUGAGAAAUGGAAAGGAAGAAUUUGCCUAAAAAGUAGGAAGAAGUUAGAGAAAAAUGCAGAAUUUUCUGCCAAUUGUUUUCCAACAAAUGCUAGCAAUAGAAUAUUUCAUGUGCAGUCUGAGCCCAAGACAUACAUUGUUGACACCAUAGGAAGGACUUGUAAGUGCAAAAGGGAUUGCCUUGCAGUCAUGCAAUUGUAG
rnacentral:rRNA from 1 species